rnacentral:rRNA from 1 species
CAAGGUUUCCUGAGGAAGGCUCGUCCGCUCAGGGUUAGUCGGGACCUAAGCCGAGGCCGAAAGGCGUAAGCGAUGGACAACAGGUUGAUAUUCCUGUACCACCUCCUCACCAUUUGAGCAAUGGGGGGACGCAGGAGGAUAGGGUAAGCGCGGUAUUGGAUAUCCGCGUCCAAGCAGUUAGGCUGGGAAAUAGGCAAAUCCGUUUCCCAUAAGGCUGAGCUGUGAUGGCGGGCGAAAUAUAGUAGCGAAGUUCCUGAUUCCACACUGCCAAGAAAAGCCUCUAGCGAGGUGAGAGGUGCCCGUACCGCAAACCGACACAGGUAGGCGAGGAGAGAAUCCUAAGGUGAUCGAGAGAACUCUCGUUAAGGAACUCGGCAAAAUGACCCCGUAACUUCGGGAGAAGGGGUGCUCUGUUAGGGUGCAAGCCCGAGAGAGCCGCAGUGAAUAGGCCCAGGCGACUGUUUAGCAAAAACACAGGUCUCUGCGAAGCCGUAAGGCGAAGUAUAGGGGCUGACGCCUGCCCGGUGCUGGAAGGUUAAGAGGAGCGCUUAGCGUAAGCGAAGGUGCGAAUUGAAGCCCCAGUAAACGGCGGCCGUAACAAUAACGGUCCUAAGGUAGCGAAAUUCCUUGUCGGGUAAGUUCCGACCCGCACGAAAGGCGCAACGAUCUGGGCACUGUCUCAACGAGAGACUCGGUGAAAUUAUAGUACCUGUGAAGAUGCAGGUUACCCGCGACAGGACGGAAAGACCCCGUGGAGCUUUACUGCAGCCUGAUAUUGAAUGUUGGUACAGCUUGUACAGGAUAGGUAGGAGCCUUGGAAACCGGAGCGCCAGCUUCGGUGGAGGCAUCGGUGGGAUACUACCCUGGCUGUAUUGACCUUCUAACCCGCCGCCCUUAUCGGGCGGGGAGACAGUGUCAGGUGGGCAGUUUGACUGGGGCGGUCGCCUCCUAAAAGGUAACGGAGGCGCCCAAAGGUUCCCUCAGAAUGGUUGGAAAUCAUUCGCAGAGUGUAAAGGCACAAGGGAGCUUGACUGCGAGACCUACAAGUCGAGCAGGGACGAAAGUCGGGCUUAGUGAUCCGGUGGUUCCGCAUGGAAGGGCCAUCGCUCAACGGAUAAAAGCUACCCCGGGGAUAACAGGCUUAUCUCCCCCAAGAGUCCACAUCGACGGGGAGGUUUGGCACCUCGAUGUCGGCUCAUCGCAUCCUGGGGCUGUAGUCGGUCCCAAGGGUUGGGCUGUUCGCCCAUUAAAGCGGUACGCGAGCUGGGUUCAGAACGUCGUGAGACAGUUCGGUCCCUAUCCGUCGCGGGCGCAGGAAAUUUGAGAGGAGCUGUCCUUAGUACGAGAGGACCGGGAUGGACGCACCGCUGGUGUACCAGUUGUUCUGCCAAGGGCAUCGCUGGGUAGCUAUGUGCGGACGGGAUAAGUGCUGAAAGCAUCUAAGCAUGAAGCCCCCCUCAAGAUGAGAUUUCCCAUUCCGCAAGGAAGUAAGAUCCCUGAAAGAUGAUCAGGUUGAUAGGUCUGAGGUGGAAGUGUGGCGACACAUGGAGCUGACAGAUACUAAUCGAUCGAGGACUUAACC